UACAGAGGUCUCAAGCGUUGUUCGGAUUCAUUGGGCGUAAAGGGCGCGUAGGCUGCGGGGCAAGUCGGGUGUGAAAUCUCAGAGCUCAACUCUGAAACUGCACUCGAUACUGCUUUGCUCGAGGACUGGAGAGGAGAUUGGAAUUCACGGUGUAGCAGUGAAAUGCGUAGAUAUCGUGAGGAAGACCAGUGGCGAAGGCGGAUCUCUGGACAGUUCCUGACGCUGAGGCGCGAAGGCCAAGCGAGCAAACGGG
rnacentral:rRNA from 1 species